GUGAAGGAGUUACUCCAGACACUUCUCUUAGGCUCUCCAUUACUUCAAAAUCCAAUAAGAGCAACAGGAUUUUUCUUGAUUUGAUAUUAUUUCAACACUCCCUUGUACUUCAUUCAGUGCUUUAUUGCUGUAUGCAGAAGGAGCAGAAGCCGGUUCUAAAGUUACUUCUGUGUUAGCAAAGUUCAAUGGCCAGCACCCUUGCUUCUGAGCAAGAACUCUUGGGUCCAGAAUAACAAAAUCUGUGACAAAUCUGGACUACCAAAGUACUGAGGGAGUGUUACACUGUCAAAUGUUCCGACUUUCAGAUGAGAUACUUAAAUAGUUACACUGUCUGGCUGUCGCAUGCGGGCGUGACAGGUUCCAUUAGGAGAGGAAGGGAGAUGCAUAUCCAGUGUAAUACAAAUCCCUCAAUCAGAAUCAGGUGAUUUGUCACAAGUACUCGUGACUUCUUGACCUCUGUGGUUUCAUCAUUGCAACGGCACCAGCGUUUAAAGUGUACAUCACUGGCUGCAACUUGCUUUCAGAUGUUCCCAGGAUGUGAAAAGCACCAGGAAAAUGCAAAUGGGGGUCUCUUGGAGUAUACAGAGAAGUUUGGUGUAACCAUCACAAAGGCUGUGUGGGGAAGGAGCACAGUCUCAGGUCAUGCCACUACUGGGAUUGAGAAGUAAACACAUCAGCAGAUGCCCCAGUGUCUCACUGAUGGAAUGCUGAAGGAGGAAACGUUAGUGAGAUAUUGAGCCGUGCACAAUCCUGAUUGAUGGAGACGGACGUGAGAAGCACGGAGGAACAUCUGGAGAAACUUCUGAAAUGCCCGCUUCGCUGCCACUGCUCCUGUGCGAUCAAGAAUCUCUGGAGGGAAGGCACCAAAUCCUUGGCUUUGCCUGCUGCUGGUGGCCGGAGCUGGGGUCGAAGCGCUCAGCAGAAAUAGUGCUCAGUGCUCGGUGUCGGAGGGCUGGUCGGAGGCUCGAAGUUUUCGGAUGGACUGAGAGUCGGACUGUAGUCGGGUACUUCCAGGGUGCUGCAUCGGCAAGUUUGCAGCGCUGGAAGCUCAUGGCGGGGCGAGUUUUCUUCCUUCUACCAUCUGCGUGAGAUGUUGGGACUUUCGAGAGACUUUGAGACUUUUUUUACUGUGCCCAUGGUCUG